GCCCACUUAGUCUAGUGGUUAUGAUGCCAGAUACUGCUAUUUUUGAUGACAAGGUUGCUGGUUCAAUCCCUGAUCAAUGCGGUA